UGGGGAAUAUUGCACAAUGGGCGCAAGCCUGAUGCAGCGACGCCGCGUGAGGGAUGACGGCUUUCGGGUUGUAAACCUCUUUCAGUAGGGAAGAAGCGAAAGUGACGGUACCUGCAGAAGAAGCGCCGGCUAACUACGUGCCAGCAGCCGCGGUAAUACGUAGGGCGCAAGCGUUAUCCGGAAUUAUUGGGCGUAAAGAGCUCGUAGGCGGUUUGUCGCGUCUGCCGUGAAAGUCCGGGGCUCAACUCCGGAUCUGCGGUGGGUACGGGCAGACUAGAGUGAUGUAGGGGAGACUGGAAUUCCUGGUGUAGCGGUGAAAUGCGCAGAUAUCAGGAGGAACACCGAUGGCGAAGGCAGGUCUCUGGGCAUUAACUGACGCUGAGGAGCGAAAGCAUGGGGAGUGAACAG
rnacentral:rRNA from 1 species